AAGUCAUCCUGCUCUUCAGUGGUUCGUCCUCAUGCCCAGUGAACACAAGACGAGGAUAGAGUAGGAGGACAACAGUGAGGAUGGAGAAGCUGGACGGGGGUCCCUUCUCUCUGGAAGCUGCUUCAGGAACAGUUGAGCAGUAGAUCUGAUGGCAGACAAGGGGGGAACAUGCCUCUUCCUAAGAGAAGAAUGUUGUUGCUGCAUUAACGAAUCCGGUCUAAUGGAAAAAAUGCCAAAACUCUCAGACUUCUAAAUGAAAGGUUGAAGUUUGCCUGGAACUGAAUGAGUGAGGUUGCCAGUGUGACUGACAUACAACCAGAUGCUCCUACACUCUUAUAACUGCCUCCCCACCAAACUAGAACCCAAACCUUUCUUUCCCCAUGAUGCCCCCUGACAUGCAGGAAGUAGCCAGAUGGACUCUGGCGCCCUACAUCACCCAAAAUGUCAGGGAUGUUAGGUCAGAAUUUAGGCAACUAUAUGACGGAGAGUGGAACAACUGAAGCAAAGGGCAGCAUGCCACAUGGCAACCAAUCAAACGGGCAGGAAAACUCCACUGACCCUUACCUUCACCUGUCACUCUGCAGGACCCCCGCCCAUUCGACCUAUAAAGACCCUGGGCAGCUGGGGCCAUGUGCGAUUUUCUCUGGCUCCCUACCCUGACCCGUACCCUGUGGGGGCUGGGAAUUUCACCCGAGAGUCGAAUUCCAAUAAAGCUUGCUUUGGCUGCUUUCUGUCCGAUUUUAUUUGGCCACACUAGCUGUGCCCCUGAACUUACAGCACCUAUAAAAUAUCUACAGCUAAUAUUAUAUUUAAUAUGAAAGUAUGGAUGCUUUAUAUACAUACUUUGCAAUUUUCUUUAUGUAAGAUCCUAGAAGGAAAACAUUAAGAAAUGGAGAACAGAUAAGUGUCUCUCAGGGAUUAGAAGGAGUGGAGUGGGAAGGAACUGUGUGGGUCCACAAAAGAACAACAUGAGGAAUUUUUGUGAUGAAGGAAAUGUUCUGUAGCUUGGCUAUUUCCAUGUGAUGUUGUUGGGAUACUAUACUAUAAUAUUAACAUUAGGAAAAACUGA